UACGUAGGGUGCGAGCGUUAAUCGGAAUUACUGGGCGUAAAGCGUGCGCAGGCGGUUCUCCAAGUCCGUUGUGAAAGCCCCGGGCUCAACCCGGGAACUGCGUCCGAUACUGGCAGGCUUGAAUUCGGGAGAGGGAUGCGGAAUUCCAGGUGUAGCGGUGAAAUGCGUAGAUAUCUGGAGGAACACCGGUGGCGAAGGCGGCAUCCUGGACCGAAAUUGACGCUGAGGCGCGAAAGCCAGGGGAGCAAACGGG
rnacentral:rRNA from 1 species